UCUAUAUAGAAAUAUAUAUAUAAAUUUAUAUAUAUUUCUAUAUAUAGAUUUAUAUAUAGAAUUUAUAUAUAGAUUCUAUAUAUAGAAAUAUAUAAAUUUAUAUAUAUAUUUCUAUAUAAAACACAACACUCAGUUUCUAAUUAAUAAAUCAAAUUAUGACUUUUUAGAUCUCAUUACCACAAGCAAUGAAAGUUUUCCACUUCAAAAUGUAUAUUGUAUGUUGACUUUGUAAACACAUC
rnacentral:lncRNA from 1 species